AUCCAUCUGACGAGUCUCAAAUAGGACGAAACACUCGUCAAACUGAAU
rnacentral:hammerhead_ribozyme from 1 species